GUGUGUAUAUGGGGUGAACCUGGGAGAAAUCUCCUCUAACAGCAAGUGGAAUGUAAGGGUGCUCAGGGCAAGAGAACUGGGAGAACUCAUCAGACUAUAAACAGCCAACCAAAGGGGGCAUUGCUCGCCUCUGAGCCCCUGGCCUGGGCUGCGACUGACCUACAGAGACCACUGGAUGUCCUUCCUCAUCUAAACAGGAUAAAAUGACUGCAUUUGAAUUUCACUCACCCGA